GCGAACGCUGGCGGCAGGCUUAACACAUGCAAGUCGCGCGGGCAUCCUUGUGGUGUCCGCGGCAGACGGGUGAGUAACGCGUGGGAACGUGCCCUUCGGUUCGGAAUAACUCAGGGAAACUUGAGCUAAUACCGGAUACGUGCGAGAGCAGAAAGGUUUAUCUGCCGAAGGAUCGGCCCGCGUCUGAUUAGCUAGUUGGUGAGGUUAUGGCUCACCAAGGCGACGAUCAGUAGCUGGUCUGAGAGGAUGAUCAGCCACACUGGGACUGAGACACGGCCCAGACUCCUACGGGAGGCAGCAGUGGGGAAUAUUGGACAAUGGGGGCAACCCUGAUCCAGCCAUGCCGCGUGAGUGAUGACGGCCUUAGGGUUGUAAAGCUCUUUUCUCCGGGACGAUAAUGACGGUACCGGAGGAAUAAGCCCCGGCUAACUUCGUG
rnacentral:rRNA from 1 species